GAUAUGACUCUCGAUAAUGGAUAUCUCAGCUCUCACCAUGAUGAAGAAUGUAGCGAAACGCGAUACUUAGUGUGAAUUGUAGAAUCUGAUGAAUCAUCAAGUUUUUGAAUAUAAGCUACCCCUGAGGCCUCAGUUGAGGGCACACUUGCUUGGGAAUCACAC
rnacentral:rRNA from 1 species